rnacentral:rRNA from 1 species
UUGCUAGAGAAAGUAAAGUGGCGCACGGGUGAGUAACGCGUGGGUAAUCUGCCUCCGAAUCGGGGAUAACGUUGCGAAAGCGAUGCUAAUACCGGAUAAAAUCUGGUUGGCUUAGGUGAACCGGAUCACAGGUGGUCUCUUUAUAAAAGCUACCGUUUGGAGAUGAGCUCGCGUACCAUUAGCUAGUUGGUGAGGUAAAGGCUCACCAAGGCGACGAUGGUUAGCUGGUCUGAGAGGAUGAUCAGCCACACCGGAACUGGAACACGGUCCGGACUCCUACGGGAGGCAGCAGUGAGGAAUAUCGCGCAAUGGGGGAAACCCUGACGCAGCAACGCCGCGUGAGUGAUGAAGGCUUUCGGGUCGUAAAAGCUCUGUCAGGUGGGAAGAACCCACCAAGUGUUAAGACCACUUGGUGCUGACGGUACCACCGAAGGAAGCCCCGGCUAAACUCCGUGCCCAGCAGCCGCGGUAAUACGCGGGGUGCGAGCGUAAUUCGGACUCAUUGGGCGUAAAAGG